ACGCUCGACACCUACGGGAGGUAGCAGUCGGGAAUAUUGCGCAAUGGAGGAAACUCUGACGCAGUGACGCCGCGUAUAGGAAGAAGGUUUUCGGAUUGUAAACUAUUGUCGUUAGGGAAGAUACAAGACAGUACCUAAGGAGGAAGCACCGGCUAACUAUGUGCCAGCAGCCGCGGUAAUCUGAGCGGGCUGGCAAGGC
rnacentral:rRNA from 1 species